GAUGAACGCUGGCGGCGUGCCUAAUACAUGCAAGUCGAGCGAACAGACGAGGAGCUUGCUCCUCUGACGUUAGCGGCGGACGGGUGAGUAACACGUGGAUAACCUACCUAUAAGACUGGGAUAACUUCGGGAAACCGGAGCUAAUACCGGAUAAUAUAUUGAACCGCAUGGUUCAAUAGUGAAAGACGGUUUUGCUGUCACUUAUAGAUGGAUCCGCGCCGCAUUAGCUAGUUGGUAAGGUAACAGCUUACCAAGGCAACGAUGCGUAGCCGACCUGAGAGGGUGAUCGGCCACACUGGAACUGAGACACGGUCCAGACUCCUACGGGAGGCAGCAGUAGGGAAUCUUCCGCAAUGGGCGAAAGCCUGACGGAGCAACGCCGCGUGAGUGACGAAGGUCUUCGGAUCGUAAAACUCUGUUAUUAGGGAAGAACAAAUGUGCAAGUAACUAUGCACGUCUUGACGGUACCUAAUCAGAAAGCCACGGCUAACUACGUG
rnacentral:rRNA from 1 species